AAAUCUGGCACUUUCAGUGUCCGAGUUGUAAUUUGAAGAAGGUAUCUUUGGGUCUGGCUCUUGUCUAUGUUUCUUGGAACAGAACGUCACAGAGGGUGAGAAUCCCGUGCGAUGAGAUGUCCCAGACCUAUGUAAAGUUCCUUCGAAGAGUCGAGUUGUUUGGGAAUGCAGCUCUAAGUGGGUGGUAAAUUCCAUCUAAAGCUAAAUAUUGGCGAGAGACCGAUAGCGAACAAGUACAGUGAUGGAAAGAUGAAAAGAACUUUGAAAAGAGAGUGAAAAAGUACGUGAAAUUGUUGAAAGGGAAGGGCUUGAGAUCAGACUUGGUAUUUUGUAUGUUACUCUCUCGGGGGUGGCCUCUACAGUUUACCGGGCCAGCAUCAGUUUGGGCGGUAGGACAAUUGCAAAGAAAUGUGGCACUGCCUCGGUAGUGUGUUAUAGUCUUUGUCGAUACUGCCAGCCUAGACUGAGGACUGCGGCUUCGGCCUAGGAUGUUGGCAUAAUGAUCUUGAGUCGCC
rnacentral:rRNA from 1 species